UCUUUGCUCAGAGCUCAGCCCUACAUAGAUCGGCUUCUGCCAUGGCCUCCAAACAAACCAAAAAGAAAGAGGUGCAUCGUAUCAACUCGGCGCACGGAUCGGAUAAAUCAAAAGAUUUCUAUCCUUUCGGCAGUAAUGUACAAUCUGGUUCUAUUGAACAAAAGAAGGGGAAAUUCCCAAUCUGGCCAGAGUGGAGUGAAGCUGACAUAAAUUCAGAAAAGUGGGAUUCAGGCAAAGGUGCAAAAGAAAAGGACAAAACAGGAAAAAGCCCUGUAUUUCAUUUUUUUGAGGAUCCUGAAGGAAAGAUUGAGUUACCACCAUCCUUGAAAAUUUAUUCCUGGAAACGUCCACAAGAUAUUUUAUUUAGCCGGACUCCAGUAGUUGUGAAAAAUGAAAUCACGUUUGACUUAUUUUCAGCAAAUGAACAUUUACUCUGCAGUGAGCUGAUGAGAUGGAUUAUCAGUGAAAUCUAUGCAGUGUGGAAGAUCUUCAAUGGAGGAAUUUUGAGCAAUUAUUUUAAGGGGACUUCAGGGGAACCUCCUCUUCUCCCCUGGAAGCCCUGGGAACACAUAUACUCUCUGUGCAAGGCUGUGAAGGGUCAUAUGCCUUUGUUCAAUAGCUAUGGAAAGUAUGUUGUGAGACUUUACUGGAUGGGUUGCUGGAGAAAGAUAACGAUUGAUGACUUUUUGCCUUUUGAUGAAGAUAACAAUCUAUUGCUUCCAGCUACAACUUAUGAAUUUGAACUGUGGCCAAUGCUUUUGUCUAAAGCUAUUAUCAAGCUGGCAAAUAUUGACAUCCAUGUAGCAGACAGGAGAGAGCUGGGGGAGUUCACGGUUAUUCAUGCGCUCACAGGGUGGUUACCAGAAGUCAUUUCUCUUCACCCGGGAUAUAUGGACAAAGUUUGGGAGCUCCUGAAAGAAAUAUUGCCUGAGUUUAAGCUGUCAGAUGAGGCCAGCUCUGAAAGCAAAAUAGCAGUGUUAGAUUCUAAAUUAAAAGAACCAGGGAAAGAAGGGAAGGAGGGAAAAGAAAUAAAGGAUGGAAAGGAAGUAAAAGACAUGAAGGAAUUCAAACCUGAAAGUUCUUUGACAACACUAAAGGCUCCUGAGAAAAGUGACAAAGUUCCAAAGGAGAAAGCAGAUGCAAGAGACAUUGGAAAGAAGAGAAGCAAAGACGGAGAAAAAGAAAAAUUCAAAUUCUCACUUCACGGUUCAAGACCCUCAUCAGAAGUGCAGUACUCUGUGCAGUCCUUGUCAGAUUGUUCUUCUGCAAUACAGACCUCUCAUAUGGUCGUAUAUGCGACAUUUACACCUCUUUAUUUGUUUGAAAACAAGAUCUUUUCAUUAGAGAAGAUGGCAUAUUCUGCUGAGAAACUUAGAGAAUAUGGGCUUUCCCACAUCUGUAGCCAUCCUGUGCUGGUGACUAGAAGUAGGUCUUGUCCUCUGGUAGCACCACCAAAACCACCUCCUGUACCUCCCUGGAAACUCAUUCGUCAAAAAAAGGAAACUGUUAUAACAGAUGAAGCUCAAGAGUUAAUAGUAAAGAAGCCUGAACAGUUCCUUGAGAUUUCAAGUCCAUUUUUGAAUUAUAGAAUGACUCCAUUUACAAUUCCAACAGAAACGCAUUUUGUGCCCUCCUUAAUUAAGAAAGGAAUACCUCCAGUAUCUGAUUUACCUUCCGUCAGUGAAACUGAUGAAACUGCAACACAUAGCCAGACAGACUUGAGUCAAAUAACAAAAGCUACAUCUCAGGGAAAUACUGCUUCACAAGUUAUACUUGGAAAAGGCACAGAUGAACAAACAGACUUUGGAUUGGGUGAUGCUCAUCAGAGUGAUGGAUUAAACUUGGAAAGAGAUAUAGUCAGCCAGACCACAGAAACACAGGAAAAGUCACAGGAAGAACUUCCAACAACAAAUAAUAGUGUUUCUAAAGAAAUAUGGUUAGAUUUUGAAGAUUUCUGUGUAUGCUUUCAAAAUAUAUAUAUUUUCCACAAGCCAAGUUCAUAUUGCCUUAACUUUCAAAAAUCAGAAUUUAAGUUCACAGAAGAAAGAGUGUCCUACUAUCUAUUUGUAGAUAGUCUAAAACCUAUUGAACUACUGGUUUGCUUUUCUGCAUUGGUACGCUGGGGGGAGUAUGGAGCCUUAACAAAAGACAGUCCUCCCAUAGAGCCUGGACUUCUCACAGCUGAAACGUUUUCUUGGAAAUCCCUGAAACCAGGCAGUCUUGUUCUGAAGAUUCACACAUAUGCUACCAAGGCUGCAGUGGUUCGUCUGCCUGUUGGGUAUGAAGUGACUUCAUUUUUCCCACAACAAAAAUUGUUUGAAGGCUUGC
rnacentral:sRNA from 1 species